CUGAGGUCAGGAGUUCAAGACCAGCCUGCUCAACAUGCCCGAGGGCAGCAGGAAGGAGACGCCUUACGUCCGUGAUGGCCUUCUUGGCCUUCUCCUCAGCGUUCCUUGCAUCCCUGCUGGCAUCUUCUACCUCACUCUGGAGCUGCAUGAGGUCUGUCUCCAGCUUCUUCUUGGUGUGGAUGAGGCUGGUGUUCUAGGGCAAGAGGAGGGCUGUUAACCAGAUAAUUCACAGGUAUUAUUCAGCCUCACAGUUUUGCUGUGUGACGGGAAAGCAGCAGGCAUUAGGACUGUGAUUUGACAAAGGCAAAAAUGGAGACACAGCAUGGAGCAGCCAGCCUCCCUGGCCGUGGCUCACCAUGGCUGCAUCUGCGCCUGAGCCUGCCUCCCAGCACUCACCUCUGCU